AGCUAGCAUAGUGUAGUGGUUUGAACAUUGGACUACGACUCUGGAGUCCUGGGUUUGAAUCCCUGCUCAGCUG